rnacentral:rRNA from 1 species
GAACGCAUACUUUAGAGUAUGAGUGGCAGACGGGUGAGUAACGCGUGAGACAUCUACCUUGCAGCCCGGUAUAAAUAUCUAUAUAGAGGCGAAAAUCUUUAUAUAUGAGUGAAUCCCGGAUAUUUUGAAUAAAAAAAAAGGCAAAGAACCGUUGUAAGAUGAGCUCGCGUAGGAUUAGGUAGUUGGUAAGGUAAAAGCUUAUCCAAGCCGAUGAUCCUUAGCUGUUCUGAGAGGAUGAUCAGCCACACUGGGACUGAGACACGGCCCAGACGCUUUCGAGCGGCAGCAGUGAGGAAUUUUGGACAAUGGGCGAAAGCCUGAUCCAGCUAUAUCGCAUGAAUGAAGAAGGCUCAAUUGGUUGUAAAAUUCAUAGUUUCAUUGUAGAUUAUGACAUUGAUGAAAUGAAUAGUCCCGGCCAACUCCGUGC